rnacentral:tRNA from 1 species
GUCUCAGUGGCGCAAUCGUUUAGCGCGUUCUUCUGUUAACCGAAAGGUUGGUGGUUCAAACCCACCCUGGGACG